UAGGGAAUCUUCCGCAAUGGACGCAAGUCUGACGGAGCAACGCCGCGUGAGUGAAGAAGGAUUUCGGUUCGUAAAACUCUGUUGUUAGAGAAGAACAGCGCAUAGAGUAACUGUUAUGCGUGUGACGGUAUCUAACCAGAAAGCCACGGCUAACUACGUGCCAGCAGCCGCGGUAAUACGUAGGUGGCAAGCGUUGUCCGGAUUUAUUGGGCGUAAAGCGAGCGCAGGCAGUCAAUUAAGUCUGAUGUGAAAGCCCCCGGCUCAACCGGGGAGGGUCAUUGGAAACUGGUUGACUGGAGUGCAGAAGAGGAGAGUGGAAUUCCAUGUGUAGCGGUGAAAUGCGUAGAUAUAUGGAGGAACACCAGUGGCGAAGGCGACUCUCUGGUCUGUAACUGACGCUGAGGUUCGAAAGCGUGGGUAGCAAACAGG
rnacentral:rRNA from 1 species